UCAGCUGGAUAGCUCAGUUGGUUAGAGCAUGGCGCUGAUAACGGAAAGGUUGCAGGUUCAAUCUCUGUAAGGGACAGCUGCA